rnacentral:lncRNA from 8 species
AUAUUUACAAAAAUAAAAUCUUCAAACUGUAGGCUACAACCAAUCAUUGACAAUGCACCUCCGUGAGAUUGAACGUUUCCGGUUCAUUCCUUCCUGUAGGCUAGGAGUUAGCCCAGCCUGCUAUCACCACGCAAUGGAGACCGAAAUGGCGGAACCAGAAAAAGUGGAACUCAGGUGGAGACGUGAGGUCUUUGAAGCGGUGGAUCUGGUGCAAUCAGAAGUAGAGAGAAGAUUUGACCAGGAAGGGCUAGGGAUAUCAGCAAAACGUGAGAAAAACCUCAUUGAGGCAGCAAAAUUACUCAACUGGAUGCACAGUCGCUUGACUCCCUUCACCUCACCAUGCAGCUAGGCCGCCUGCUGCUCCAACUCCACAUAGGAGAAAAAAUACCCAAUCCAUCACUGUCCCAGGUGAUGAUUCAACUCUGGCCCAACUUCACCCACAAACGAGAGGUCUCUUCAGAGAAGUAGAAACCCUAAUCAAACUGUGCCUCUGUCUUUUGAUCUCUGUCAGGUCCGCGGAGAGGACGUUCACCCUUCGCCACCUAAAGACGUGGAUAUGCAGCUCAAUGAGCAGGAGAAAAGGCUGACACAGCUGUCCCUUAUACAUGUUCACUGUAAAAUUCUGGACACAAGCCCUAAUGAGGGCCUAUAUCAGCGUCACCCCGCAGCGCAAGGCCACUAUUGAUGUUUUAUGACUGCUGGCACGCCUGGCCCAGCAGUGAGUGCUCACCAUCUUGUGGCUUGGGCAAUCAGCCAGGGUGGUUUGGACUCAGGGCCGUCUUCCAGCCCCCUCGCUCUCUUUCUACCGCCCCCGUUUUGGCCGCAACAUCCAACUUUUCUCAGACGUGGAGCUGAUCUGCACACUUCCGACAAAUGUUAGAUUGCCAAUAACUGUCUUUUUUGGCUGGGACAACCAAUCCCUCUCUGCAAUACAUUCCCUCACUAUACAAAACAGAGAUGAUGUCAGGUUCACCACGAAAGCCAUUGCAGCCAAUGAGGGGAUCUACGUAUGCUGGUACAAUGCCAGCAAUACUGGAGACGUGUCGAGAACAAGCAAUCCAGCCAACCUGACCAUCUCCUCUCUUCCAGGGCCAAUUUUGGUGGUGCCCGCCUUCAUACCCAUCGGAGGAAACUACACCAUCAGCUGCCAAACUACCACCCGCUUCCCCAACAGAACCCUGGCCCUUUACUACAGACAGCUGCCUGUUACUGUGGGAAACGAGAUCUUUAAGUUUAAGGGGUCAGCGGCCCUUCUUGACAACCACGAUUCCAUUACACUGAGCAGGUGGCUAGUGGACAGCACAGAAACAUUCGAGUUUGUCUGCAGACUGGAGAUUGUGGACUUCAACCAGCAUAUUUACCUCUCUCCUCCCUCCAGUCCCCACCCAGCUAUUGCAGAGGAGGCCCCUAUCCGUCUUGUGCCCCAGUAUCAGGGCUCCAAGUGUCUGGGACAACUGGAGGUGCAGGUCAGAGGCAGCUGGGGCCCUGUGUGCCAACAGAUAGAAAGCUGGAACCCAGCAAUGGGUAGCGUGGUUUGUCGAGAGCUGGGCUGUGGGACACUAUCUUCCGUCUCGACGAAGCAAGACUACAACCAUAAGGUUGACUUCUCCAUCGGUUCCAUAUUGUGCAGAGGAAGCGAGGGACGACUCAGGGAGUGUCAGAUUGAUGCGGUGCAGCCCCUUUGUAACUCAAGGAAGGGGCUGAAAAUAGUUUGCUCAGAUGCUUUGCCAACUACUAAGAUCUCAGUCACAGGCUACAGAGAGGUAUCGAGAGUCGACAUCAGUGAUGAGCACUCGUUGGAAUUGUCCUGCAUGUUCAAUGCCCCUUGGUUUGGUACGGAAAAGCUUUUCAUGGACUUGACGAGGGUCUCCAUAGAUUCGUACAUUAACAUAAUCGACAAUGUGCAAAUCGCCUCAGGAGAAAAGAUGAGGACCAUGCUUCAUGCCCCUGUCUUAUCAGGAGAGUAUGCCUGUAGAAUUAGAGGGUCUGAACAGACUGUUUCCUCAGUGAGGAUCUUCGUGAGCAAAUGGUACAAACCAAAUGUUGGACUCAUCAUCACGGCUCUCCUCACAGCCGUAUCUGGAGCAGCCAUAUUAGUGUAUAUGUGUGUCUAUCGUGUCCAGAAGGGGGAGACAGCAAAUGCUGUCACUUCUCAAGGGGUGUCCACAGCUGACCCAGAGGCCUCACCAGGAAUGGAGAGUGUCUAG